AUAAGGAAUGCUUCUGAUU
rnacentral:snRNA from 1 species